UACGUAGGGGGCUAGCGUUGUCCGGAAUCAUUGGGCGUAAAGAGCGUGUAGGCGGCCCGGUAAGUCCGCUGUGAAAGUCGGGGGCUCAACCCUCGGAUGCCGGUGGAUACUGUCGGGCUCGAGUACGGGAAGAGGCGAGUGGAAUUCCUGGUGUAGCGGUGAAAUGCGCAGAUAUCAGGAGGAACACCGGUGGCGAAGGCGGUUCUCUGGGCAUGACCUGACGCUGGAGGAGCGAAAGCAUGGGGAGCGAACGG
rnacentral:rRNA from 1 species